UGACAGCUUUGGGGACAAAACUCUAG
rnacentral:piRNA from 1 species